rnacentral:rRNA from 1 species
CACGUAGGCACCAAGCGUUGUCCGGAUUUAUUGGGCGUAAAGAGCUCGUAGGCGGUUUAGUAAGUCAGACGUGAAAUCCCUCAGCUUAACUGGGGGACUGCGUCUGAUACUGGGUGGCUUGAGUGCAGGAGAGGAAUGCGGAAUUCCAGGUGUAGCGGUGAAAUGUGUAGAUAUCUGGAGGAACACCGGUGGCGAAGGCGGCAUUCUGGACUGUAACUGACACUGAGGAACGAAAGCCAGGGGAGCAAACGGG